CCACACAGAAAGUCAGCAAGCGAUGGAUUUCUCUGAUUUUAUCAUAUGGACUAACUUCAUGUUCUGCCUUCCUUUGACCUUACUGGUCAUCUGUUGGUUGUGUUGCUUGGUAAAAAAGGAGCAUGUGAUCUAUUUCACUAACCUGCUCAUUGCCAAUCUCGUCCACAUCAGCAUAAUGUUCACCUGGCAGUUGAAGCAAGGAUCUGUAAUUGAACAAGAUGACAUUAUUUGCAUAGCUGGUUUGACGGCUAGUUGGUAUUUCAAGACAUACAUUGCUAUUGAAAGGUGUUUUGUUAUCACCUGCCCAAAGUUGAAGUGCAGCAGACAAACUAAGGGGUCCAUGUUGGUUUCUCUCUUGAUUUGGAUCCUUUGUAUUGCAACUGUAGUUCCUACUGUAGUCUUCAAGAAGUUUCUUAUCCUCUAUAUUUUUGCCCUCCUUCCAGCUCUCCUGUUCAUCCUGUUUUUAGUAUGGACCUUUCACGCCUUGGCUGCUGACACCUUAGUGACCACUGAUGAAAAACAAAGAAUUGUACGAAUUUUCCUUUUGUUCUUCUUUAAUUAUUUUCUGAUGAUCCUUCCCGGUGUCAUCUGUUCUCUUGGAGUAUUUUUGGAUAACGACUGCUUUAAAGUUAUCGCUGAUAAACUUUUGACUUUGUUGCUUCUCGGCCCUUUUCUGGAUUUGAUUCUGGUUUGUUUCAUGCGUAUAAGAUGCAGAUUCGACAACACUGCAGCAGACGUAGCUGAACAUCGGCAGCCAGGUUGGGUGAUGUCGCAAAUACUAAGGGACAGAGAAAAUAGGAUACAAACUGUGUGAAAGAUGUGGAUAAAAUAUGCAAACAAAAACAUUUACAAAUAUUGCUGUAAAGGAGACAACUGACAGGGAGUUUUACUUGAUGUAUAUAAGAAGUGUGUUCUCAGCUAACGUUUCUUUGGUUGUCAACCACCUGAAACCCAGUUACUAGAAGUUACUCUUCACAGGAAGCAUCUUAAUGAUGAUUUAUGAAGGAAUUUUAAAAAAUUUAAAAUUAAAAAUAAAAAAAAAUUGCAUUUCUUAUCUGAUGGAGUGAUGCAUAACAAUGUAAAGCUAAAGCCAUGAACCACUGUUCGACUUAUUGUGCUGUAUUUUUUCUACACAGACUGUUGUUCAGAUCAUAACUUUAUGCAUGACAGCUUUUACUGUCAUAGACUGUGGAUUUUAUCAGUUCAUUUUUGAGCCGUUAAUAUUUGGUAUUGUUGAGUUUUGAUUACUAUUUGACUGGGUUUCCUUAUUUUAUUUUAAGAUUAUUCUAGCAUUCUGAGUUCUGUUUUAGAGUUAUAAUUUUGAAAUAUGUAGCCUUAUAAUUUGGUAUUUGAAUCUUUGUUUUACUUGACUUUAGUAAAAAAGAUGUUUUACUUGAAACACUUGUUUCUGUUUUGCUGAUUCUUUUUU